CACACAGUAGAUUUCUACUGAUCGGGGGAGCUGAAAGCCCGGUUUCAUUACUGGAUCCCGAGUAAGCUCCCUGUCUGCACCCUUGUCUUUUGCGUACCUAUGUUUCCUCGGCAGGCUUGCCUGCCGAUUGGACAAUUACAAACUCUUUUUAAUUUUAAAUCAGCGUCUGAAUAAUUUUAAUAAUUA
rnacentral:misc_RNA from 1 species